AGGAUUGUGUUUAGAAACUUACUAAUCUCAUAUUAAGAUUAUUUCUUAGCGAUACACUAUGUUUGAAGAACUAAUAUUUUCAUUGGUCAUGGUUAUGUUUGUCACGACUAGUACUUUACUUAUCGGAUCCCUUAUUCUUAUACAAUGAGCCUAAGCUACUGCUCCGUGAAUUACUACUUUAUGGGCCAACACUUCAAGCGUUGGAUAUCACAAGAUGGGGCUAACUUUGCUGUCAAUUGAAAUGAAUAGUUGAGCUUUACAAAUCGCUGAUAUAAGGAUAGGCCAUAUAGG
rnacentral:misc_RNA from 1 species